rnacentral:snRNA from 1 species
GGAUGUGAGGGUGAUGCAGCUGUAACAUCUGUCACCCCAUUGAUUAUCAGGGUUGAUUCAGCUGAUCUGGCUGGCUAAGUAGGUGUCCCCUUCCUCCAUGGGGAUGCUCCAUGUGCAUCCCUCCAGAAGCUGCACACUUGGUCAAAGAGGACGACGUUCCCCAGUAGAGGAGGACCAUUCUUCAGUCAGGGUAUAUGAGCAGCUGUACUCCCCUGCUAGAACCUCCAAACAAGCUUUCAAGAAUUCCAUUUUUAUUCCAAUUCCUGAUUUUAUAACUGGAACCGUUACAGGACAGAAUGCCAGAAAGAAGACACCAGUCCUAUUCCUAUGAGAUGUUGGUAAGUCAUUUAACUACCCUGG